UUUUGGGGUAUGAUUUCUUGCAAAUGGCAGGCACUUUAAAAUAUUCGUUGAUAUACUUUGUAUUAAAUUACAGUGUAGGGCUAAGAUCAGAUGGUAGUUGUUUGACACCAAAAAUCUAGUCUGUACACCUGCGAGAGAAGAAGGUCCACAGUCAGAUCUGCCUAACCAGAUUCUAAGGUUUGAUCCAGAGUGGGAAGAUCCCUGGUCCAGAAACCUGGAAAAUGCAGAGGCAGAGCUUCUCUUCUGACAUUGCUCCUGUACUAGGGCCCUCAGUAAGCCACGUCAUCUCCCUGGGCCUUGGCUUCCUCAGCUGCCCCCUGGCCCACAGGGCUCAACAAUGGUCAGGAUAGUUGACAUUUAUGUAAUGCUUUAAUAAUCUCACGCUUCUCCAGCAUUUUAAGGUUUCCAAAGUACUUUCCUCUUCACGACCUUAUAAGGUAGGUAGUUGUGAGUGUUUUCAUCUUGCAUUUUGUGGAUGAGGUAACUGAGAGUAAGAGUUGCUCAUGGUCACUUAGCUGGUCAGUGACAGAAGUGAAAUUUGACCCUAAUUCUUCUCCUUUGGUAAGUGCAUGUUCCACUUUGAAGUCUUUAGACUUAGAAACAUUAAUUGAUUCUCAUAGCAAAAAUUAUAACCUCUCCAUAUACUUUAUUUCCCCUCACUGGAUAUGAGGGCAGAAUGAGAUAAUUGAUGUAAAAAUGUUUUGAAAAACUAGAAUUCUGUGAAUAUGACAAUAAAAAUGUGCAUCUGCCUCUAGAAAAAGUAGUUUUCAUGUCAGUUUGCCAUGGAAAUUGGUGGAAUCCUGAUAAGCUCAUUACUUCGGUGGAACCAUUCACUUCAUGACAUUCAGUUUAAGCCUGGUGGGGUGUUUCACUUCUGGAAUCCUUGCUGUUGGGGAGGCCACGGUUGAUGGAUCUAUUAAGUUUGGGACUCUUGAGUUGCAGAAGGGCUAAGGCAGAGCAAGUAUUUGUCUGUCACCAAUAUGAUGAGCCCCCAGAAUCAGAGGACCACCAGGCUGUCUAAGGAGGGGUUAACUUGUUCAGGGCAGAAAAACAGCAAGUAUAAGCUUCUGCACUGAUCAGUGUAGGGAAAGGGCCCAUGAAUGGCUGAUAUACUUCCAAGUAUGGGUGAGAUAGGGAGACCUAGUCUUCAAAAAACAAAAUUUCCAGCUAUGUACAAAGCACUGUCUUAGGUACUAAAGGAGAUACAAAGUUGACAUAAGACAGAGUGCUUACCUUUAUGUGAGGUACAGUCUAGUAGAAUAAUAUUAGCUCAUUUAUUUGGCACACAACGAGGUAUAUUUGUUCCUUUUAGCUUAUAUCAUUCUUUGGCUUGGUCUGCCCACAAAUGACCCAUUCAGGCAUCUGUCAGGAGUCCAGGUACCUUCCCUAAAUGCCUGGACCCCCCUUGCUAAAUAACUCUACAUGAUCCUGAUCUUCUCCUGUGUAUUAUCUCUUCCACACCCACUUAGAAUGUCCACCAGCAGAUGUGCCACACACCCUCUGCCUCCUCCCUGGUGAUGUAGGACAUUAGCAAGGAGUUGAGCCCUGAAAUAAUACUUAGAACAUGAAGAACUCAUUGUUUUCAGGAUUUGGUGACAUUUGGGGAUGUGUCAGUGGACCUCAGCAAGAAAGAAUGGAAGAGUUCAGCAGCUGCUCAGAGAUUUUUUCGAGAUUUGAUGCUGGAGAAUUACCGGGAUGUGGUAUCACUGGGAUAUGUUUUCGUAUGGAAUGGUCACAAGGGAUAGACUGACCUUUAUGGUCCUGACAGAAGCCCAUACAAGGGUAAGAUGGAAAGAAUAUGUCAUCUUCUGCAAACUCACAAGUGGAAAGCUCCGAAACCAACAACCUCUUAAAAGAGUUAACAUUUGUGAAUCUGCGAGAGAAAAAAUGCCUGUUACCACACCUGAAGUGGUUCCUAAACUUGCUUCUGGAAGUGAAAACUAAAGAGCAAGAGGAAAAUCAAUAAACUAACAAAAAAUAAAGGUGAAAAAGUGGUCUGGAGACAUUAGACAUUAUUACUGCCCAGUAAAAGUAUUGUUUCCUGUAUGGCUUGUCUCCUAGAGGUUUAGAAUGAACAGAUGCAGAGAGAAAGUCUGGUUUGCUCUCCAGCAUUAUGGAAUGGGUCUGUGUCACAGGGCAGAGCCCUAUGCUCCCUCGGACCACUCAGACAGAACCGGCAGAGUCAACUACCCGAGCAUCUACUUGAGUGAUACCGUGAUCUGACGAAAGGUACGGACAGUGUGGACUGGCCUGAGUGCUGGCCUGGCGUCGGGAAGACCCUCUGGUUUCUACAUUACCUCUAAGAUCAAAUCCCCCAACUUCACUUUAAAGCCUUUCCCAAACCAGCUCCAAAUCCUUCCUUUUUCACAUCUCCACUCCACUGUUCAUUCCAUCUCCCUGCUCCUUUGCACAGGUUGCUUCCUCAUGCCUGAAAAAAACCAAGUUCUCAGAUUCCACGUUAAGAAUCCCAGAACUGGACGCACUCCUAAAGUGCCUGGCACACCGCAAGGGCUAAAUAAAUGCUUGUUCCUUUUCCCCUGCCUUCUCUUCCCCCUCCAGCUCUAAACCUUCCACGUAUGCCUAGUAUUUAAAGGUGAAGUAAGCCCCUGCAGGGCAGUUAAGUUUCCUCCUAGCCACUGUAUUCCCCUCCCCGCCCUUCCCUCCGCCCCGUGCCCCCGACUCUGCAGAGUCCUGCACACUGUGAGUGCUUAAUA